UGCUGUGAACCGCGUGAACCACGUUGAACCGCAUCGGCUUACCCCCCGUAUGACAGAUUUCCUUGGCCGCACUGCCUUUUUCAAUUUUGCUUUGUGCUGUUUUGCGCGCGUAUCGCAUCGAGGCGCGAUCGUGUUUGUUUUUGUUUUCGCAUCAGCUGGACGGCGGAAUUUUUGUUUUUGUUGCAGAACUCCUUCGAUUAUUAUUCAAACAAAAUGGGAAUUCGCUGUCAUGUCCUUGACCACGCCCGUGCACCGGCCUCCCAGAUAAAUGGAGCGGGGUCAUUCGGUGCCCACUACCACCAAAACAAGUUGAAGGAACUUCAGUUGGAAAAGCAAGAACUGGCGGAGAAGAAAUGCUCGAGUGAAGGCGUGAAAUGACCAGGCUGAAGAGUGCCGUUACCGUUCCUCAAGGACGUGUGCAAGAAGAAGGCUUCCCUACCAACGUAGACCCUGCGACCAAGAAGAACCGCAUCCGCGAGGGGAAGGCCCAACCUGGGGCUACCGCAGCCAAGUCGUCGACUUAUGUGUGGGUGUAUUUGUGUGUAUGUUACUGAUGUAAAUUUGUGGUUAAGUUUGAAUUGAAAAUAUAUAAAAUUUACAGCUUUU